UGUAACAAGGUCUCCGUUGGUGAACCAGCGGAGGGAUCAUUACCGAGUUUACAACUCCCAAACCCCUGUGAACAUACCACUUGUUGCCUCGGCGGAUCAGCCCGCUCCCGGUAAAACGGGACGGCCCGCCAGAGGACCCCUAAACUCUGUUUCUAUAUGUAACUUCUGAGUAAAACCAUAAAUAAAUCAAAACUUUCAACAACGGAUCUCUUGGUUCUGGCAUCGAUGAAGAACGCAGCAAAAUGCGAUAAGUAAUGUGAAUUGCAGAAUUCAGUGAAUCAUCGAAUCUUUGAACGCACAUUGCGCCCGCCAGUAUUCUGGCGGGCAUGCCUGUUCGAGCGUCAUUUCAACCCUCAAGCACAGCUUGGUGUUGGGACUCGCGUUAAUUCGCGUUCCCCAAAUUGAUUGGCGGUCACGUCGAGCUUCCAUAGCGUAGUAGUAAAACCCUCGUUACUGGUAAUCGUCGCGGCCACGCCGUUAAACCCCAACUUCUGAAUGUUGACCUCGGAUCAGGUAGGAAUACCCGCUGAACUUAAGCAUAUCAAU
rnacentral:rRNA from 1 species